GGCACGAAUGGGUUAAGAAACAUGUUUUUAGGGAUCAGAUUUUCAAUGUACAAUGUAUUAGCCAUGGCCAUUGUUCCCUGCAAAAGGGUCACUGUGGAGCAACAAUAAAGGGCUAGAUGGUCUCCUGCUGUGAUAUUUGUACAUAACAAGGAACUGAACAGCUUCAAACAGGCUUGGAAGAUAGAAACUUGCCCCAUCCUCCAUUGGUUUCUUAUAGCGGCCCGUAAAUUGGUUUUACAUAUUAGUAAACAAGUCUGAAUACCUAACAGAGAGAUAUUAGGUGCAUGAAUCCAUGUUCCCAGUUUAAACAUAAAAAAAAAAAUCCCACUCUUGGUGUCUG